UGGACUACUGGGGUUUCUAAUCCUCUUUGCUACCCAUACUUUCGCGCCUCAGCGUCAGUGUUGAUCCAGAAAGCCGCCUUCGCAACUGGUGUUCUACAUAAUAUCUACGAAUUUCACCUCUACACUAUGUAUUCCGCUUUCCUCUAUCAAACUCUAGUCGAGCAGCUUUAAUUGCAGUUCCAAAGUUAAGCUUUGGGAUUUCACAAUUAACUAACUCAACGGCCUACGCGCGCUUUACGCCCAGUAAUUCCGAACUACGCUAGGUCCCUUCGUAUUACCGCGGCGGCUGGCAC
rnacentral:misc_RNA from 1 species